GACGAACGCUGGCGGCGUGCUUAACACAUGCAAGUCGAACGGAAAGGCCCUGCUUUUGUGGGGUGCUCGAGUGGCGAACGGGUGAGUAACACGUGAGUAACCUGCCCUUGACUUUGGGAUAACUUCAGGAAACUGGGGCUACUACCGGAUAGGAGCUCCUGCUGCAUGGUGGGGGUUGGAAAGUUUCGGCGGUUGGGGAUGGACUCGCGGCUUAUCAGCUUGUUGGUGGGGUAGUGGCUUACCCAGGCUUUGACGGGUAGCCGGCCUGAGAGGGUGACCGGCGUCAUUGGGACUGAGAUACGGCCCAGACUCCUAUGGGAGGCAGCAGUGGGGAAUAUUGCACAAUGGGCGGAAGCCUGAUGAAGCAACGCCGCGUGCGGGAUGACGGCCUUCGGGGUGUAAACCGCUUCCGCCUGUGACGAAGCGGGAGUGACGGUAAUGGGUAAAGAAGCACCGGCUAACUACGUG
rnacentral:rRNA from 1 species